GCCUUUGUAGCUCAGCUGGUAGAGCACCACUUUGGUAGAGUGGGGGUCAUCGGUUCGAAUCCGAUCAAAGGCU
rnacentral:tRNA from 2 species